UGGUUCUGUUCAGGCUGAUUCAGGCUGAUGUGUAUCCAGAUGGACAUUGGUUCUGUUCAGGCUGAUGUGUAUCCAGAUGGACAUUGGUUCUGUUCAGGCUGAUGUGUAUCCAGAUAGACAUUGGUUCUGUUCAGGCUGAUGUGUAUCCAGAUGGACAUUGGUUCUGUUCAGGCUGAUGUGUGUCCAGAUGGACAUUGGUUCUGUUCAGGCUGAUUGCUGAUGUGUAUCCAGACAGACAUUAUUUACAUGUCAGUUUAUUUCAAUGAUGAUUCCCAUCAAGAGAUACGAUCUCUUGUUUUGAUCGAGUGUCUCUACAAGGGGUGGUAUGUAUGUAGAAAUGUAACGUAUAUGAAAUACGUUUUAAGUGAAGAAAGUGAUUUGCAAGGAAUGAAUAAUGUUUGCAUCCUAAAUGACAUCAUAUUCCCUAUGUAGUGCACUUCUUUUGAACAGGACCCAUGGGGCUCUGGUCAAAAGUCGUGCACUAUAUAGGGAAUUAGGUAUUGGUACACAGCCAUGAUGAAAUGUAGGAAUCUAAACUGUUGUUUUGCUCAUAUGAUGAAGGAAGAAACUAGAAGUUGA